CCCUUAGAUGUCCUGGGCUGCACGCGCGCUACACUGAAGGAAUCAGCGUGCUAGAAAACCUUGUUUGACAUGGCUAGGUAACCCGUUGAAAAUCUUUCGUGAUUGGGAUCGGGACUUGCAAAUGUGUCCCUUGAACGAGGAAUUCCCAGUAAGUGCGGGUCAUAAGCUCGCGCUGAUUACGUCCCUGCCCUUUGUACACACCGCCCGUCGCUGCCCGGAACUGAGCCGUUUCGAGAAGACUGGGGACUGCGAACUUUGGGCUGGAAAACAGCUUUUUGUUUGUGGAAACCACUUUAAUCGCAGCGGCUUGAACCGGGCAAAAGUCGUAACA
rnacentral:rRNA from 1 species